UUUCCGGUUGAUCCUGCCGGAGGUCACUGCUAUCGGGGUUCGAUUAAGCCAUGCGAGUUGAGAGGGUUUAGACCCUCGGCGGACUGCUCAGUAACACGUGGAUAACCUGCCCUAAGGUGGAGGAUAACCCCGGGAAACUGGGGAUAAUACUCCAUAGACCAGAGUGACUGGAAUGUUUUCUGGUCGAAAGUUCCGGCGCCUUAGGAUGGAUCUGCGGCCGAUUAGGUAGUUGUUGGGGUAACGGCCCAACAAGCCAGUCAUCGGUACGGGUUGUGGGAGCAAGAGCCCGGAGAUGGAAUCUGAGACACGGUUCCAGGCCCUACGGGGCGCAGCAGGCGCGAAAACUUUACAAUGCAGGAAACUGUGAUAAGGGAACCCCGAGUGCUCGUGCACGCGAGCUGUCCAGGUGUGUAAAAAGCAUCUGAAGAAAGGGCCGGGCAAGACCGGUGCCAGCCGCCGCGGUAAUACCGGCGGCUCGAGUGGUGGCCACUAUUAUUGGGCUUAAAGCGUUCGUAGCUGGACUCUUAAGUCUCCUGGGAAAUCCGCCGGCUCAACCGGCGGGCGUCCAGGAGAUACUGGGAGUCUUGGAACCAGGAAGAGGUAAGAGGUACUUCGGG
rnacentral:rRNA from 1 species